rnacentral:rRNA from 1 species
AUUGAACGCUGGCGGCAGGCCUAACACAUGCAAGUCGAGCGGAUGAAGGGAGCUUGCUCCUGGAUUCGGCGGCGGACGGGUGAGUAAUGCCUAGGAAUCUGCCUGGUAGUGGGGGAUAACGUCCGGAAACGGGCGCUAAUACCGCAUACGUCCUGAGGGAGAAAGUGGGGGAUCUUCGGACCUCACGCUAUCAGAUGAGCCUAGGUCGGAUUAGCUAGUUGGUGGGGUAAAGGCCUACCAAGGCGACGAUCCGUAACUGGUCUGAGAGGAUGAUCAGUCACACCGGAACUGAGACACGGUCCAGACUCCUACGGGAGGCAGCAGUGGGGAAUAUUGGACAAUGGGCGAAAGCCUGAUCCAGCCAUGCCGCGUGUGUGAAGAAGGUCUUCGGAUUGUAAAGCACUUUAAGUUGGGAGGAAGGGCAGUAAGUUAAUACCUUGCGGUUUUGACGUUACCAACAGAAUAAGCACCGGCUAACUUCGUG